GAUUCCUGCCUACCUGAAGUGAAGCUUUCCAUGGGUAACUAAUUCUAAUGACCUGGUAUGCUGCAACAAAGCCUAAGCCACGUCUUCAUUGGCAGCUGAAGCCAGUACUGUUACCCCAACAGGAUUACUGAUCAUCUUUGGAAUUCUAUUGGAGAGUAGAGGCCUGCCAUCUUAGUGGCAUGCAGUUAAUGACUCGUAUGGGAAGGUUACUACAAUAUCCAGUUUUGAUCUUCAGCUACCAGGUAAAACAAGAUCCCAAGAACUUGGCCAACUGAUGUCUGAAGAGGACUUAAAUGCCAGAUUCCUAGAGACAUAAGAUCAGCUUCAAAUGAAGUCUUCAAGCUGUAUCAAGGACAGAAUAGCAUGUUUUCCCUGAUGAUGGGAGACUGACUUCAUGCCUAUUCCAGCCCUCAGGGUUAUACUGACAGAUAAAGUCUGCUGAGAAGCAACCCAUGUGUCGACAAUUAACGUUUCUCAAUUCUGUCAGUCCCAUUCCUUUCCUUGGUGUUGCACAUGAUAGCCAUUAUAUAGGCAGUUGUCUUAGAACAGUCUUCAGUGAAUUCCCCGGCAAAUGUGAAGUAGCAUUUGCAAUGCAAAUCUUCAACUGUCCCAGUCAUGUAAUAUUUCUAAUGCACUUUUCCCAUCCCCAUUAUUUUUCCACUCUGUCUCAAAGAAAAGGUGACAAAGAGGUACUGUCUAACUAUUUCAACUUCUUUACAAUUAAAUUAGAACAUUUUCUUUGUUUAAGAUCCAGAAAAUGGCAAAAAAAAAAAAAAAGAAAAACCUUAGAAAUACACUUAGAAAGUAAAUUAAGCUAUUGAGCACCUAACAGCAACACUGUACAUA
rnacentral:lncRNA from 1 species